GUGAUUUUAGGAAAAGUGGCCUUGGUGUCAGCUGGCCCUGAAUUUCAGUCUAGCGCGGAUGCAUUAGCUGUGCAGCCUUGAACACUUAACUUCUCUGAGCCAUGAUUUCCUUAUCUACAAAGUGGGGUUCAUCAUAUCUGUUUUUUAAUAGUCACUGGGAAGAUCAAAGGGGACAGCACACAUAAAACACAUUCGUCACACUUUUAUCUCUCGAGCUGGGCGGAGUGGUUGCAUUCGUUCUGUAAACAAUCACUGAUUGCUUAUCGCUAAGCAUUGUUCUGGGUUCUGGGGAAUUGGUAAUGAACAAAAAGUUUCUCCUAAAGCUCACAUUCUGACAGGGAAGCAAGUGGAUGAACCAAUACAUGAACAAACAGGAGAAUUUCAGAUCGCAGUCAGAGCUCCCAAGACAAGGACAGAGGCCGGCAUAGCAGGGGGUGAUUUAGUAGGAAGCCGAGGCAGCGUCAGACUGUGCAGUGACAUUGGAACCUGAAGACUGAGAGACUGUCUGCCUCGCCAGGACCUGGGGAAGGAAGAGCGUUCAACGCAGAGAAGACCGAAAGGACGCACGAGAUGUGCGGGGAAGGAUCCAGUUUAUCUUGAGCAGGCAAAGAAAAUGAAGGUCCGAUGAAAACUAUAUACCUAUUUUAUUUACAUUAAUGAAGCAAGAAGACAUAAAAUCACAAUGAUUUCUUCUUUUUGGUGGAUAAAUGAUCGAGAAAGGAAUGUUGAAGUCAGGAAGACUGAAAGAGUUUUGUCAAGAAACCAUAGCAGAAAGUGAUGGGAUUCUCUACCAUGGAGAAGCUCACUGAAUUCAAGAGGAAAGUUUCACUUGUUCAAAAAGAAAAAGAAAAUUCAUUCUGGGAACACCUUGAAAGAAAGAUUUUUGACUGUGGGCUGGUUGGCUUACCUGCCAGAUGUUUUUAACCAUGUGAAUGAGAUGACUCUUUCAGUUCAAGGCCCCGAUAUCAUCAUUAGGAUGCUUCUGGAAACAUUAUGAGCUUUCUUGGCUGGCAGGGAGCUGACAUCUUUGCAAACUUUCAAAUGCAGGGAGAGAAGCGCUUUACCUCAAAGGAGUUGAGUUACAAAAUGCUGUCAGUUUAUUUGAAAAGAGUAAUCUGGAACCACCUGGAAACACUUCAGAACUCUUGCAACAGUUGUUUCUAUCUUGAUAGUAACAAAAUUGAACCCUAGAAGGCAUUCUUUUUCUUACCGAUAUAAACUGUAUCAAUGGUGUUGACCUAGCCAGAGAUGAAUUUGUUGAUUGUAGGAACAAGAAACCACUGUAACUCAUUUCA